AAAAAAGAAAGUGUGACGGUGUGAGAAAAAAGAAGAAGAAGCGAAGGUAGAUAGGCUGGAGAGAGAGAGAGAGAGAGUGAGUAUAAAGAAAGGAAAGGUUAUACUCUAAAAGGCUGGAGGCUUCGAGAAUAGCUCAUGACUACUGAAGUGACACGCUCACUCCGUCCACUGUAAGGAAGUGAAGACUAUUUAGUUACAACUCCCGAGGAAGUGAGAGAGGUAGCACACUGCGCACCACCCUCCACUGUCUAAGGAGAUCACAGACCAAAUCAUCACUUUGUCUCUCUCUCGUUCUCUUUCCCCGUCUACUGGUAUUGGGAUUUUAAUAAUAUUAAAAUGGAUCCGCCUGCAAGGAUGAAUGAAGGAGGGCCUUACAGUUUGGAGGAGAUCUGGCAAUUUCCCAUUAACGGGAGCGGAAGAGGGCACUUUGAUUUACUUAAUUUGGAGCAGAGAGCAGCUGCUUCUGUCAGGAAACGUCGCGAUGUUGAUUUGGAUGUUGAUGAUGAUUCUUCUUCAAAACCCACUACCAACGGACUUCUGCGGCUUAAAACAUCAGGGAGUAAAGAUGAGGAUCACCAUCGUCAUCAUGAUUCUAAAGAUGAAGCAGAACCCAGUUCAGGCAAGCAUGUGGAACACAAAACUCAACCACCAGAGCCAUCAAAACAAGAUUAUAUCCACGUACGAGCAAGAAGGGGUCAAGCUACUGAUAGCCACAGUCUAGCUGAAAGAGCUAGGAGAGAAAAGAUAAGCGAAAGGAUGAAAAUUCUUCAGGAUCUAGUCCCAGGCUGUAACAAGGUUAUUGGCAAGGCCCUGGUCCUUGACGAGAUUAUCAAUUACAUCCAAUCAUUACAACGUCAGGUUGAGUUUCUAUCAAUGAAGCUUGAAGCAGUGAAUACGAGAAUGAACCCUGGAAUUGAAGUCUUUGCUUCUAAAGAUCAUAUCAUAAACCUUAAGGUGUUCAUCAAACUUGUCUGAUUGAUGGGUGAUCAAUCAUUACUAAGAGGAAGAGGGCGUCCAAAGGUCCCCCGGUCUUACUUUACCAUAUAGUUUUUAUUGCAGUUUGGACAAACUUUUGACACUGCUGGCAUGGCAUUUGGUUCUCAAGCCACGAGGGAAUACAGUCGUGGUACAUCACCAGAAUGGUUGCAUAUGCAGGUUGGUGGUGGUUUCGAAAGAACGUCAUAAUGUAGAAAAUCCUCAUCAAUUACCAAUAAGAACUCUAAGUGGCAAAUGCUUCAUCCUUCACUGGCUGUCAAAAUAUAUAUACUCCACUUGGUUAAAACGAA